GGCCCGAAUUUGAAGUAGAUUAGAUUAGUACUAUCAGCUUACCAUACUAAACUACUCUACUUCAAGUUCGUUUCC
rnacentral:pre_miRNA from 1 species